rnacentral:lncRNA from 1 species
ACACAUCCCGUUAACCCUUACCAAAAUUCUCUCAAGGAGAAUUUUUUUCAUUUCAUCCAACAAAUGGAGGAAAAUGCAAACCCUUGUACAUGCUGCGGUAAAGAACGUUGUGACAAAUCCAGUUCAAAUUUCCGUACACUAUCAAUCAAUAAUUCCGAAGUCAGGUCUAGGAAGUGCAACAACGUGGCUAUGCGGCUGUUUAGCGGCAUCAUGGCUGCGUUCCUCACCUCGUUAAAGGCGUGCAAUUGUAUUCAUGUUACCACCACAGAUGAUUCGGACAGUGACGAGGGUGGGACGUUGAUACAAAAUCCGAGAAACGUCGACAGAGAAGGAUGAUUUUCUUUAAGAAGAUAACAAGAACUCGAGUUGUACAAUUUCGAAUAUGCUCAUCAGGUAACAAAAGGUAACGGACCUGUGUACGUCCAAUUAAAGGGAUACAUGCUGCUCCUUAUUAAGUUUAUUUGUUUAAUUAGGCUACUUAUAUAUUUAUUCUUUUCAUUUUUAUUUUCCGCAAACUAGAAGCUUUAUUAAAGUAAUAUCUGAUAAGAAGAAAAGUAUUCAAAUCAAAAAAGACAGAAGGAUUCCCAAAAAUUUGCAAACACAGCCAUUUUUCCAUGUGAGCAAUAUGGCCAAAUUACCAAAAAUUGGGUCGUGCCGCCCAUGCUGACCAGGCCAUGCAUCGACAAGUCAUAACUAAUUAAACCAUCUACGGUUCAGCAGAAAGUCUAAAAGUUAGACAGAAAUGCUUUUUCUUUCCAGCAGGCCAGGGAUUCAGGGAAAGAGUUUUACUUGAAAUUAAUCAAUUAUAAAGAAUUCUCUACCAAAUAUAUUCUGGCAGGUUAAUCUAUUGACUAUGCUCCCUUUUUCUUUUCUCUUAUAUCAAACCAUAUAUGCACUAUCUUAUCUUAUCCUUUAAUUAUGUAAUUGAAACUCCAGCUAUAGUGAGAGGAG